CCCUUAGAUGUUCUGGGAUGCACGCGCGUUACACUGAUUCGUUCAACGAGUUUAUGACCUUGCCUGAUGAGGUGGGGGAAUCUUUUCAAAUCGCAUCGUGAUGGGGAUAGAGUAUUGUAACUGUUAGUCUUCAACGAGGAAUUCCUAGUAAGUACGUGUCAUCAGCUCGUACUGAUUAUGUCCCUGCCCUUUGUACACACCGCCCGUCGCUCCUACCGAUUGAGUGCUCAGGUGAAUAGUAUGGACUGCAUCAGUGUUCGGUCGCCGAAUGUUGACGCGAGAAAUUCUGUGAAUCUUAUUGCUUAGAGGAAGGAGAAGUCGUANCA
rnacentral:rRNA from 1 species